rnacentral:snoRNA from 1 species
CGACCUUUGCAACACUCUGGCCCUUACCGUCUUUUCCCGCCUUCGGGCCUGGAAUUGUCAUAUCACAACGUGGUAUAGGCUUAUUUUAAGCAAAGAAGAGCAAAUCGACCUGCUACUCACCGCGGUAUCUUCGAGGGGAGCUUCGUGCUUCUUUCUGUGGAUACAGUGGUCCAUUUAACGGUCAAAAU